rnacentral:rRNA from 1 species
AGAUUGAACGCUAGCGGGAUGCUUUACGCAUGCAAGUCGAACGGCAGCGCGGACUUCGGUCUGGCGGCGAGUGGCGAACGGGUGAGUAAUAUAUCGGAACGUGCCCAGUAGCGGGGGAUAACUACGCGAAAGCGUGGCUAAUACCGCAUACGCCCUACGGGGGAAAGGGGGGAUUCUUCGGAACCUCUCACUAUUGGAGCGGCCGAUAUCAGAUUAGCUAGUUGGUGAGGUAAAGGCUCACCAAGGCGACGAUCUGUAGCUGGUUUGAGAGGACGACCAGCCACACUGGGACUGAGACACGGCCCAGACUCCGUACGGGAGGCAGCGAGUGGGGAAUUUUGGACAAGUGGGGGAAACCUGAUCCAGCCAUCCCGCGUGUG